GCAUUUCACGACUCUAAGUCGCUCUGGAUAAGAGCGUCUGCUAAAUGACUAAAA
rfam:Salmo salar isolate Sally breed double haploid chromosome ssa01, whole genome shotgun sequence.